rnacentral:rRNA from 1 species
UACGGGGGGAGCAAGCGUUGUUCGGAUUUACUGGGCGUAAAGGGCGCGUAGGCGGCGCAACAAGUCACUUGUGAAAUCUCCGGGCUUAACCCGGAGCGGCCAAGUGAUACUGUCGUGCUAGAGUGCGGAAGGGGCUACUGGAAUUCUCGGUGUGGCGGUGAAAUGCGUAGAUAUCGAGAGGAACACCUGCGGCGAAGGCGGGUAGCUGGGCCGACACUGACGCUGAUGCGCGAAAGCCAGGGGAGCGAACGGG